UACGUAGGGGGCAAGCGUUGUCCGGAAUCAUUGGGCGUAAAGAGCGCGUAGGCGGCCCGAUAAGUCCGCUGUGAAAGUCAAGGGCUUAACCCUUGAAUGCCGGUGGAAACUGUCGGGCUAGAGUCCGGAAGAGGCGAGUGGAAUUCCUGGUGUAGCGGUGAAAUGCGCAGAUAUUGGGAGGAACACCAGUGGCGAAGGCGGCUCUCUGGGACGGUACUGACGCUGAGACGCGAAAGCGUGGGGAGCGAACAGG
rnacentral:rRNA from 1 species